UGCUAUAGAAUAUAAUAUCUGGCCUGCCCAGUGAUGAAAUUUUAACGGCCGCAGUAUCUUGACUGUGCAAAGGUAGCAUAAUCAAUUGUCCAUUAAUUGUGGGCUGGAAUGAAGGGUUGGACUUAAUUUAACUUUUUUAGUAAUACUAAAUGAAUUUUUAUUUUUUAUAAGAAUAUUUAAAUGAGCAUUAAAGACGAGAAGACCCUAUCGAGUUUUAUAUUGCAUCUAAUGCUUACGAGUAGAAGGUAUAGUUAGCUAUAAUAUUUUACUGGGGCGGUAUCUUUAUAAGAUAUAUUUAAACUUAGGCGUUAUAGAUGAGAUCCUUAAGGGUUAGGAUUUAAUGAUUAAAUUACUGUAGGGAUAACAGUGUUAUGUUAGUUGAGAGGUCUAAUUAAUACUAAUGUUUGCCACCUCGAUGUUGAUUUAGGAAAGCCUGUAGGGAGCAUAGUAUCUACUAGGUGGCUUGUUCAGCCAUAAAAUCUUAUG
rnacentral:rRNA from 1 species